UCGGACUGCAUUGACAGCUAGGAUGUUGGCUUGGAAGCAGCCAUUCAUUUAAAGAGUGCGUAACAGCUCACUGGUCAAGUGUCCGGGCGCGGAUAAUGUAACGGGGCUCAAGCUAGACACCGAAGCUUCGGGUUCGAUCUUUGAUCGAGCGGUAGGAGAGCGUUCCCAUGGCAGUGAAGCGGCGGGGGAACCCAGCCGUGGAGCCCUGGGAAGUGAGAAUGCCGGCAUGAGUAACGAAAGAGGAGUGAGAAUCUCCUCCACCGAUUUCCUAAGGAUUCCUAAGUAAAGUUCGUCUGCUUAGGGUUAGUCGGGACCUAAGGCGAGGCCG
rnacentral:rRNA from 1 species